rnacentral:rRNA from 1 species
AAGUGUGUUGUGAAAUGUAGACGCUCAACGUCUGACUUGCAGCGCAUACUGGUUUCCUUGAGUACGCACAACGUUGGCGGAAUUCGUCGUGUAGCGGUGAAAUGCUUAGAUAUGACGAAGAACUCCGAUUGCGAAGGCAGCUGACGGGAGCGCAACUGACGCUUAAGCUCGAAGGUGCGGGUAUCAAACAGGAUUAGAUACCCUGGUAGUCCGCACAGUAAACGAUGGAUGCCCGCUGUUGGUACCUGGUAUCAGCGGCUAAGCGAAAGCAUUAAGCAUCCCACCUGGGGAGUACGCCGGCAACGGUGAAACUCAAAGGAAUUGACGGGGGCCCGCACAAGCGGAGGAACAUGUGGUUUAAUUCGAUGAUACGCGAGGAACCUUACCCGGGCUUGAA